UUGACCUCGGAUCAGUAGCUGCCCAU
rnacentral:rRNA from 1 species